UUAAAAUACAAAAAAAUUAGCCGGGUGUGGUGGUACACACCUGUAAUCCCAGCUACUCGGGAGGCUGAGGCAGGAGAAUCGCUUGAACAGGGGAGGCAGAGGUUGCAGUGAGCCGAGAUCGUGCCACUGCACUCCAGCCUGGGGGACAACAGUGAGACUUCGUCUCGAAAAAUAAAUAAAUAAAUAAAUAAAGAGAUUAACUAAGAUCUGAAUAGGAAAUAUUUGUCAUUUAUUGUCUCUAAGGGCAGCCACUAUAAGUCUUCAAAAGAACUUUGGUCUCCACGAUCUUUAUCUUAACCAGAACCUUCCCUUUCUAUGAAUCCCAGGUUUUUAGACAAACUCAACCAAUUGUCAACCAGAAAUUUUUUUAAUUCACCUAUUGCCUGGAAGUGCCCCCCCACCUUUGAGUUGUCCCACCUUUCUGGACCAAACCAAUGUAUUUCUUAAAUGUAUUUGAUUGAUGUCUCAUGCCUCUCUAAAAUAGAUAAGACCAAGCUGCGCCCCGACACCUUGGGCGCAUGUUCUCAGAACCUCCUGAGGGCUGUGUCACGGGCCAAGUUCACUAAUAUUUGGCUCACAAUAAAUCUCUUCAAAUAUUCUGCAGAGUUCAACUCUUUUCAUCGACAAGUCAAAAGAACAGCCACCACGUCUGCAUCUAUUCGAUGUCAGCAUCCCCACCUGCAGAUGAGGGGAAGGUCCCUUGCCCAAGGUUGCCAAAGUUGGCAGUGCUGAGCUUUGAGCCAGGUCUUUCCUUUCUACCCCUCUGCCUGCCCUGCCUUCCACAUGGGAGCUUCCUCCCCAUCCUGCCUUUGUUGAUGCUGACAGAUCAACUUGGUGAAUUACAUCCUUCAUUCAAUAGACACAACAGAGUCAUGUAGACAUCAUCUCUGGGACCCAGCCCUGUGCUAAAGAUACCAAAGAUGAUGAGAACAUGGCCCCUGACCUGAAGAGGUUAUAAUCCAAUGGUAAACAGGUACAUAAAGAAAUAAAAAAAACAAGGCCAAGGCAGGAGGAUCGCCUUGGGUAACUGUCCAAGGGGUUCACCUUGCCCACUGCCUAGACAGAGCCGAUUCAUCAAGACAGGGGAAUUGCAAUAGAGAAAGGGUAAUUCAUGCAGGGCUGGCUGUGCAGGAGACUGGAGUUUUAUUAUAACUCAAAUCAGCCUCCCUGAGCAUUCGGGGAGCAGAGUUUUUAAGGAUAACUUGGUGGGUGGGUGGAAGCCAGUGAGCCCGGAGCGCUGAUUGGUCAGAGAUGAAAUCAUAGGGAGUUGAAGCUGUCUUGCACUGAGUCAGUUCCUGGGUGGGGUCCCCAAGAUCAGAUGAGCCAGUUUAUUGAUCUGGGUGGUACUAGCUAAUUCAUCAAAUGCACGGUCUGCAAAAUAUCUCAAGCACUGAUUUUGGGAGCAGUUUAGGGAGAGUCAGAAUCUUGCAACCUCAGCUGCAUGACUCCUAAACCAUAAUUUCUAAUCUGUGGCUAAUGUGAGUCCUACAAAGGCAAUCUAGUCCCCAGGCAAGAAGGAGGUCUGCUUUGGGAAAGGGCUGUUACUGUCUUUACCAUCUUUUUUUAAAUUAUAAACCAUAAACUAAGUUUCUCCCAAAGUUAGUUCAGCCUACACCCAGGAAUGAUCAAGGACAGCUUGGAGGUUAGAAGCAAGGUGGAGUCGAUUAAGUUAGAUCUAUCUCACUGUCUCAGUCAUAAUUUUGUAAAGGCGAUUUCAUCAGGAAUUCGAGACCAGCCUGGGCAACAUGGCAAAAAAUAUUUAUUUAAAAAAAAGUAUUUUUUUAAUAGAUCUAUUUUUUUUUAAAAAAGAUAUAUUUUUUAAAAGUAUCUAUUAAAAAAAUACAAAAAAUUAGCUGGGUGUGGUGAUGUGUGCCUGUACUCUCAGCUACCUGGGAGGUUGAGGUGGGAGGAUCACCUAAGCCCAGAAGGUCGAGGCUGCAGUGAACCAUGAUCGAACCACUGCACUCCAGCCUGGGUGACAGAUAAUUUAAGAUUAAGUUUGAGACUCUGUCUCAUAAAAAGAUGAAGAAGGAAAUAGAGAGAGAAAGAGAAAGAAAGAAAACGGCAUAUCUCUGUUGUUCAGAUGAGAAAAAUGAGGCCCCAGGAGGAAGGUGACCCACCCAUACCCAUGUGGUUUUUUAGGGGCAAGAACAGACCUAGAGACAACUCUGUCCUCUGGUCUUAAAAGAUAAGUCAGGGCCAGGCAUGAUGGCUCACACCUGUAAUCCCAGCACUUCGGGAGGCUGAGGCGAGCGGAUCACCAGGUCAGGAGAUCAAGACCACCCUGGCUAACACAGUGAAACCCUGUCUCUACUAAAAAUACAAAAAAUUAGCCGGGCGUGGUGGCAUGUGCCUAUAAUCCUAGCUACUUGGGAGGCUGAGGCAGGAGAAUGGCAUGAACCCGGGAGGCAGGGGUUGCAGUGAGCCAAGACGGCGCCACCGCACUCCAGCCUGGGUGACAGAGCGAGACUCCAUCUCAAAAAAAGAAAAAAAAGUCAGGCUGAGGCAGGUGGUUUGCUUGAGUCCAGGGAUUUAAGACCAGUCUAGACAACAGGGUGAAAACCCAUCUCUAUUUA
rnacentral:lncRNA from 10 species